CCCUAGAUUUCAAGCUUUAGGAUGCUGUUUCAUCCUGAUAAGCCUGAAAUUCAUCUCCUGACCAGGGUCAGCUCCAUCCACACUCCAUCUAUCCUUGUGUGUAUUUUGAAACGUGCGCCGAAAUGUGCUUCGUCGUUAGCAGUGCCGAAAUUGGCAUUCUGUGAAUUAUCCUUCGUAACUUUGGAAAUUUAGAACUUGAAGCAGGGCUUAGUGCAAAUCAGCUUAAGCCUUCUCUAGCUAAACAUAGACCAGUGGAGCAUAUUACCCCCAAUUUCUAAUACUUGAGGUCAGACCCUUACAACGUGGUUGCAGUACGAGGGCAAUGAAUAAUAGAUAUCUUUUGUUCCAGAGUCAGUGAC
rnacentral:lncRNA from 1 species